UGGGGAAUAUUGGACAAUGGGCGCAAGCCUGAUCCAGCCAUGCCGCGUGUGUGAAGAAGGCCUUCGGGUUGUAAAGCACUUUCAGUGGGGAGGAAGGGUGUUGUGUUAAUAGCACAGCAUUUUGACGUUACCCACAGAAGAAGCACCGGCUAACUCCGUGCCAGCAGCCGCGGUAAUACGGAGGGUGCAAGCGUUAAUCGGAAUUACUGGGCGUAAAGCGCACGCAGGCGGCUUUUUAAGUCGGAUGUGAAAGCCCCGGGCUCAACCUGGGAAUUGCAUCUGAUACUGGGAAGCUAGAGUAUGUGAGAGGGGGGUAGAAUUCCAAGUGUAGCGGUGAAAUGCGUAGAGAUUUGGAGGAAUACCAGUGGCGAAGGCGGCCCCCUGG
rnacentral:rRNA from 1 species